UGUACAAUACCUUAUAAAACUAACAUCACUUUACAAAAAUAUCCUUAUUUUAUAACAUGUGUUGUGAAAAGUGUUGUACAAAGUGUUGUGUGUUUAUCACUACUCUUCUUUUUGAUGUGCA